CAUCUCUGGUAUAAUUGACAAAUCGUUGCUGGUUAUAGUAGAUAUAAUUGAUCUAGUUAACAUUCUUGUUAGCGGUGAUGAGUGGGAUCAAGGAUUCGAAUCCUGCCGACACCUCAUCUCUGGCCUUGAAUUCAUUUGGUACCCCCCUUGGUACUCCAAUGGCAUCGAUAUAUAUACGUGUGGGUCGAAACUACCUCGAAUGGGGGUUUCUCUUUUUACUCUAAGAUACGUGUGUGGUGAAUCGUAUGGGCCUUGGUGAUUAUCAGAAAUUAUGUGUAUGGGCAUAAUAAGUUUGGUGAGAGCACACUCUCUCCAUCACAGGCCAGUCAUUUCUGAUCUGAGCUGCAUGUCACCACAUAGCCAAUAAAUGUCUCCCACGGACUUAACUUGAUUUACUAAUAGGGCAGUGGGAGGUUCUCGAUAAGUGGCACAGUAGCCAGAAGGGAAUUUACCUACAAAUUUACCUGUAGCUCCAUGUAUUGUGUAGUUACCUGGGUACACAGUGAUUCCAUCAGGUGGCCUGGUACUCCCUUGGGUUAGUGGGUAAACCUUUUUCCAUGAUUCACACACUGAUGAAUUUACUUUUGACUGUGCAUAAAGGCUUAAGAAACACAUUUCAACAUCUGGAGGUAAGGAUUUCCCAUUUAUAUCAACUCUAUCUAAGGCUUUUUGUGGUCUGUAGCCCCAUGGUCGACCCGUAUUCCAACCCGCUGCUACAGUGAUGUCCCUAAUGCCCACCCAUCACACAAAUAUAUGGGUCCUUUUUGUUUGUUAUGUCUUUGUAUAUUGCUGAGUGUUGUGACGGUGGAAAGGUACAAGGAAAAAUAUCACAGUAAUCAAAGGUAAAAGUAGCUACAUGUGUGUUUGAAAAGUUAUACCAGAAUGUAUAAACAUGAUUAUCUUUGGUAAUAGCAACUUGUUGGGCCUUUAAAAGGCCUAGCAGCAGACAUAGGCACAGGAAACUCAUGAUUUGGCAGGAUCUGCUUCCUCUGGAUCAGGGACUUUCUUGCAGUGCGAGGCGUAUAUCCAGGUAUUCUUCCCAGCCAACUUUACAGAGGUAGAUGUAGUCAAUAGGACCUGGAAUGGACCAUCGAACCUUGGCUCAAGAGUGUGUUUUCUUAGGAACUUCUUGACCAUGACCCAGUCACCAGGAAGUAACUUAUGUGUGCCCGUAUCUGUCUCGGGAUCUGGAAUAGAAGAAAACACCUGUGCAUGGAUUUUGGUCAAGGCAUGAGAGAGUGCAGUUAUAUAAUCUACCAUUGCGUCUGACUGAAUUUGAAGUUGCUGAGGAAAAUAACAGCCUAACCUGGGUGUUGUUCCAAACAAGAUUUUAUAGGGGGACAGGUUGAACUUCCCUCUUGGGGUGUACCUUACACUGAACAAUGCUAUGGGAAGACUCUCUGGCCAGGGUAGGUUAGUUUCUUGGGACAUUUUAAGCAUUCUGGCUUUCAGAGUGCCAUUCAGGCGUUCUACCUUAUCACUACUCUGUGGGUGAUAAGGUGUGUGGAAUGCAAGGGUCACCCCCAGUGCUGCCCAGAUCUCUUUGGUUAGCACCGCGGUGAAGGAUUUACCCUGGUCACUUUCAAUUACUUAAGGGACUCCGUAUCUGCAGAUGAUUUCGGUGAGUAGACGCUUUGCUGUGGUUUUCGCAGUGAGAUUAGCGACUGGGAAAGCUUCUGGCCAUCCUGAAAACAUAUCCACUAUGACCAGUACGUAUUCGUACCGGCCACUCUUUGGCAUUUGGAUAUGGUCAAUUUGGAUCCUCUGGAAAGGGUACUGUGGUUUGGCCAAAUGGUUUGGUGCAUCUUUGAUUAUUUUCCCUGGAUUACAUUUAGCGCAGAUGGUGCAGGAUCUGCAGUAAUUUCGUGUCAAGGUAGUGAUUCUGGUUGCUUCAAAAUAUUUAUCAAUCAAAGAGUUCAUGAGGUGCUUAGAUAAGUGAGCUGGUCCAUGGGCCCACUGAACAACAGCUGGAUACAUAUUGCUCGGUAGACAGAAUUUGAGAUUGAUUGAUUGUGUAUACUUCAUUCUGAAGGGUUGCUCCUUUGUCUUUCCAGCUUUGUUUUUCUUGAGGGGUAGCGGUGGCCUGUUGUUCUCUUAGGAGCUUGAUCGGUGGGUAGGGUUUGCAUAGUGUAAAUGGGAGUCUUUUCGACGGACACUGUUCUGUCCACUUCCCGACACUGGCGCGCCGCACCCAUAGCGGCCUGGUCGGCUAAAUGAUUGCCCUGUGCUUCUUCUGAGUUUAGUUUCCCGUGGGCCUUUACCUUCAGUAUGACCACCUCUUCUGGAAAUAGUAAGGCAUCCAUUAAAUCUUUGAUAGCUGCUCCAUGUUUCACAGGAGUACCUGUUGCUGUAAGGAACCCCCUGGUUUUCCAGAUUAGGCCAAAGUCAUGUGCCACGCCUAGGGCAUACCUUGAGUCUGUAUAAAUAUUGACACGCUUCCCUUCAGACAUCUUGCAUGCCACCGUAAGGGCUAUUAGUUCGGCUUCUUGUGCUGACUUAGAUGAGGGGAGUGAGGAUGCUUAGAGUAUUUGGUCCUCUGUGGUGACUGCAUAUCCAGUAUGAUAUUGUCCCUGCUCAUCUGCAAAUAUAGAACCAUCCACAAACAGAGUGUAGUCAGGGUCCGGUAGAGCAGCCUCGUGCACUGUUGGGAGAUGGGUUGUUUCCAUUUUCAUCUGUUCAAAACAAUCAUGGGGGGCGUCUGGGUCCUGUUCUGUAGGAGGGAUGUCCUCACAUAUCUCUGUGUGAUAUCGAGGGUAACCAACAGUUUUGCAAUUUACGGUCCUCUUAUUGACCCCCGUCACUGAAAGUUGUUCUUGAGUUGCAGUACUCCGUGUUUUGGCCAUGGGGCCGAGUUCUUUCCAUGAGCGAUCUGGAGACUUGGUGAAAGAGACAUGAAGAACAGCCACCUCCCGAUGGUGAUAUAAAUGUGAUACCUCCAUAGGCUGGUAGACUAGGAUAACAAUGUUUCCUUUGGAGUCACAGAACAGGUCUGUCAGUGUGACGUGUAUUUCCACCAGGCUGAAUAAUUCUUUUUCAUAGUAUGUGUCAGGACCUGGGGUGUCCUUGAACCACAGGGUGCAAUGUAAGUGGCUCUCGGGCUGUUCAUCAUGUGGAACUGUGGGCUUUUCUACUUGAAGUUCCAUGUGAACAUCAGGAUUUAUGUCCAGGCUGUACCAGUAUUGUGGCACUCCCCCUUGGGAAGUGGCAGAAGAGUGGCUGGAUUCAAGAAAUAACAUCUUUGUAGGGUAACGUGGAGAGAGGAGAGAGGUUUGAAGUCGGAGAUGUCUCUGGGAUGAGAGAUGCUUGGGCUGGACUUCAUUCAGUAUUGCAGCGAUAUCAUGGGGAGCAAGAACCGUCAGUUUAUGUCCGAGAACAAAGUCAUUAGUCUUGUCCAGUAGGGCACUUGCAGCAAAAACAGCAUGCAAACAUGAAGGACCACCCCUGGCCACGGGGUCAAGCAUGCAGGAAAAGUACCCAACAGGGCGCUGACGGGAACCGUGGGAUUGAGUAAGGACCCCUGAAGCAUGGCUCAUCUUCUCUGAGACGUAGAGUUUGAAUGGUAGCUGGUAGUUAGGGAGGCCCAAAGCAAUGGCAGAAGAGAUGGCUCUUUGAAGAGCAUGGUAACAGGUGAGGGCUGUAGAGGACAAUGAAAAAGGUUCAGUCUUCAAAGCAUCGUAGAGAGGUUGCAUGAGUUGAGAAGCCUCAGGGAUCCAAGAUCUGCAGUAUGUGAUGAGGCCUAAGAAGGCAUGAAGAGCUUGAUGGUUAGAUGGAAGGGAGAGAUUUGUAAUGGCAAGUAUUCUGUUUUUCAUUAGGUGAGGGGGGCCAUGGGAAAGGCAAUGUCCCAAAAAGACCACAGAGGGCCGGCACAACGGGAGUUUCGUCUUGGAGGCUUUACAACCUUCUUCAGCGAGGAAACAAAGGAGAUCUUCGGAAUUCUGUUCAGCAGUUUGAAAAUCAUCUGCACAGAGAAGUAAAUCAUCGACAUACUGGAGCAGGACCACAUCUGGGUGGGAUUUCUGCCAGGGCUCUAGGACAGCUGACAUAGCUUUGGCGAACUGGGUUGGGGAAUUUUGAGGCAUAACAGUCCAAGUAUACUGUUGACGAACAUGUGUGAAAGCAAACAGAUAUUGACAAGAGGUGUCCAAGGGCACGCUGAAAAAGGCAUUUGCAAGAUCAACUACCGUGAAGUAUUUAGCUGCUGGAGGAACUUGUGACAACAGUGUAUGUGGAUUAGGGACAACAGCAGUAUCAUGAGUUGUGACGUCAUUAACAGCGCGGAGGUCUUGAACCAUACGGUAUUGGUCAGGUUGGCCUUUUUCAGUUUUCUUCUUUACUGGAAAUAGAGGGGUGUUACGCUGUAAUACACACUUCACCAGUGCUCCUUUUGUCAGCAGGCUAUCAAAUUGUUUGGAAAUGACGAGGGCUUGUGCAGGUUUCAAUGGAUACUGUGGUCUUCGUGGUGGACUAGCUCCCUUGAUUAAUCUAACGACCACAGGUGGGACUCGUAGGCGUCCGAUGUAAUCUGGGCCUGUGGACCAAAGCUUAGUUGGAACCCUAUCCAGGGCACUGGGGGCUUCUGGGGCCCUUGCCUCCUCGGUGGGGGAUGUCACGUAGAGUAGUAGUAGGGGCAAAGAGCAAAGGACAGAAGUAUCUUUGCGAGAAAGGGGGGUUAGUAAUUGAACCUGGCCAUCAGCAGUAAAGGAGAUAGAAGCUUGAAGACGAGACAGAACAUCUGCUCCUAAAAGGUGAAUUGGACAGGUGGAUGAAACAACGAACCGAGAGAGAAUGCAAGAGCUUAGUCAGCGGGUUAUUUCUGGGGGUACCAUCGACACCUACACAAGAAACAUCUGUGUCAGAUAGGAAAGAUGGGUCAGGCAGGUCUUGUUCUCUGAGAACACUGCGUGCUGCACCUGUGUAAACUAAAAAGGUAGUUGGAUGACCCUCAACUGGAAGAACAACUGUAGCUAGGGGUCCCCCCUUGUCCCCUUUCAUAACAGGAGUAUUAGACACAGGUUUGCCGGUUACCUAUUGUACAAGGUCUAGAUGAGAAUGAUCAGGGCCAGUGUAAUGACGUGUAGGUUUGGUGGAGUGGCUGGCCUGAUGGGUCUGACGUGUAGGGCGAUAGUGACUCGGUGCUGGGUGUUCAUCUUGUUGGAAAGCAUGCCCCUGGCUGAGGUCUAGGUGCCAUAUGUUGUCCCUGCGCAGCUGGCAGGGUGGGUAGCGUGGGAUAACCUGGAG